rnacentral:rRNA from 1 species
GCAUAUCAAUAAGCGGAGGAAAAGAAAAUAACAAUGAUUCCUCUAGUAACUGCGAGUGAAGAGGGAUAAGCUCAAAUUUUAAAUCUGUUUUGGUUUUACCAUGCAGAGUUGUAAUUUGAAGAAACGUUUUCUGUGUCUUGAAUUAAUUAAAAUCCCCUGGAAUGGGGUAUCAGUGAGGGUGACAGUCCCGUUCAUGGGUAAUUUUUAAGACGCUUUAUGAUACGUUUUCGAAGAGUCGAGUUGUUUGGGAUUGCAGCUCAAAAUGGGAGGUAAAUUUCUCCUAAGGCUAAAUAUUGGCGAGAGACCGAUAGCGAACAAGUACCGUGAGGGAAAGAUGAAAAGAACUUUGAAAAGAGAGUUAAACAGUACGUGAAAUUGUUGAAAGGGAAACGAUUGAAGUCAGUCGUACCGACGAGAAAUCAGCUCUUUGAGUGCGAACUUGUGGGCGUGCGUGAGCUUUACGGUCUCGCUGUUUGCAAUGUUUGUUCUUUUUGGGUGUACUUUUUCGUAUGGUAGGCCAACAUCAGUUUCGAAUAUCAUAAAAAGAUCGGAGGAAUGUAGCUUCGAUUUCGUAUUGAAGUGUUAUAGCCUUUGGUAAAUGUGAUGCUCAAGAUCGAGGAUUGCAACGAAUAUCCUUUUGGGCUAUUCGUCUGAUCUCUGAUACGUGGCCUUGGUAUCGAAAGCGUGCUUACGGUAUUAAGGUAUUACGGUCAAAAGGUUAGAACGGAUUACAUUCGUUAAGGAUGUUGACGUA